AAUGAGUUAGUCACUUCGGUGACAACGAAGUCUGGCUGACCAUCUAGAACCUUAGUCAGAGGGAGAAAUGAAGUUUACUGUCAGCAACUGUGAGACAACGUCCCACACCCUACAACUCUCACUAGCUCUGAUUUUAUUCUCUUACAACAUUAUUCUAUCUCCCUCUGUAAUUACUACUAAACAAUGAAGAGGACACAAACACAAACUUUACUUCGCAUGCUUUUGGAUUGAUCAAAACCUGCCCGUCGAGGCAAGGUAUUGUAAUGUAACGGUAAAUAGUGAACUGAUUCGAGAACAGAAAGUCAUGGAACAACAGAAUCGUUCCACCAUUGUUGUUUUGGCAUGUGCUAGACACACUGCCAAUAAAAUUGGUAAGUUGAAAAAAACUUCCAAAUGCAACAGUUUAUCAUGUAUGUAAACAAGUUAAAGAAGAGGGAAAGAUUGACAGAAAAGAAAACAAGACACGAAAUGAUUCCAAACACAAUCCAAUGUUUGUAGCUGGCCUUAAAUGCUCGACUGAAGCCAACCCAUCUAUAUCCAUGACCACUCUUGCAAAGAAACACAAUGUGUCCUAUUUCAUGCCCAGAAUUGUGAACAGGAACCUUAGCAUGACUAUUUGUCAUCGCUGUCACCUCCUAACAGCCAAGGUCAAAGCAAUCAGAGCUGAGAGAAGCCCAAAGCUUCUGUCAUUCACCAAGCAUCAAGGUGCAGGAAAAUCUCUUGUGUUUGUGGAUGAGAAGAAGUUCAAUGUGGACACUGAAGUCAAUCGCAGAAAUUCUCGAGUGAUUGCAUACAACCCUUCUGACAACACCCUGUGUUUGAGACUAAGAAUCCUGCCUCUGUGAUGGUAUUUGAAGCUGUGGUGAGUGAUGGAAAUGUUAUGGAUCCACACUUCAUUGAGUCUGGUUUGAAGAUCAGCACAAAGGAGUAUCUGGAUAUCCUGAAGAACUCUCUGUUAUCUUGGAUGGAAAAGUUUGAGCUUGACAAUACAGUGCUUAUCCUGGAUUCUGCACCAUGCCAUGGGUCAAAAGCAAGACAGGCCUUCCUUGGUGAGAUGGUGCCAUUUUUUGUGAGGGCCCAGUAACAGCCCUGAUCUCAACCUUCUCGGUUACUUUUUAUGGGGCAUACUUCAAGCAAUGACAGAUGCUUCACCACACUUGAAUGUCAACAGUUUGAAGACUUGCAUCAUGCUUGUAACAUGCUAACUUAAGAAGGCAGUUUGUGGCAGCUGCAAAAUAAUUUCAUUCUUAUGUGGAAGCAGUAAUUGCCCAAAAGGGUGGCCAUAUUGAGUGAUAAGUGUUUUGUUGUAAUAAAUGUUAUAUUAAAAUUA